rnacentral:rRNA from 1 species
GAUGAACGCUGGCGGCGUGCCUAAUACAUGCAAGUCGAACGAACCGACGCUAGGCUCUUGCACCUGGUCAAGGCGAGUGGCGAACGGGUGAGUAAUACGUGGGUAACCUACAUGACUGUGGGGACUAACAGAAGGCAAAGAUAGUACCUACCAAUAAGUACAUAGGAAUACAUCAACAGGUGAAGAAAGUCGGCGCAAGCCAUAUCUAUGAGUUGGACCCGCGGUGCAUUAGCUAGUUGGUAGGGUAAAGGCUUACCAAGGCGACGAUGCAUAGCCGACCUGAGAGGGUGAUCGGCCACACUGGAACUGAGACACGGUCCAAACUCCUACGGGAGGCAGCAGUAGGGAAUCUUCCGCAAUGGGCGAAAGCCUGACGGAGCAACGCCGCGUGAGUGAAGAAGGUCUUCGGAUCGUAAAGCUCUGUUGUUAGGGAAGAACAGAGCAUUAAGUAACUGUGCACCGUUUGACAGUACCUAAUCAGAAAGCCACGGCUAACUACGUG